UACAGAGGGGGCAAGCGUUGUUCGGAAUUACUGGGCGUAAAGGGCGCGUAGGCGGCCUUCUAAGUCGAACGUGAAAUCCCUGGGCUCAACCCAGGAACUGCGUCCGAUACUGGAAGGCUUGAAUCCGGGAGAGGGAUGCGGAAUUCCAGGUGUAGCGGUGAAAUGCGUAGAUAUUGGGAGGAACACCAGUGGCGAAGGCGGCUCACUGGACUGGUACUGACGCUGAUGCGCGAAAGCGUGGGGAGCAAACAGG
rnacentral:rRNA from 1 species